CUACGAAGGGGGCUAGCGUUGUUCGGAUUUACUGGGCGUAAAGCGCACGUAGGCGGAUCCUUAAGUCAGGGGUGAAAUCCCGGGGCUCAACCUCGGAACUGCCUUUGAUACUGGGGAUCUCGAGUCCGGGAGAGGUGAGUGGAACUGCGAGUGUAGAGGUGAAAUUCGUAGAUAUUCGCAAGAACACCAGUGGCGAAGGCGGCUCACUGGCCCGGUACUGACGCUGAGGUGCGAAAGCGUGGGAGCAACAGGG
rnacentral:rRNA from 1 species